CACCUGUUUACAUUCCGAACACAGAAGUUAAGCCCUUAUACGCCGAAAGUACUGCACUGGAGACGGUGUGGGAGGUUAGGUAGCUGCCGGUU
rnacentral:rRNA from 1 species